rnacentral:lncRNA from 1 species
UCCGGUUCCUUUUAUUUUGUAUUUUGUAUUUUAUUUAUAGUUUUUAAUUUCAGCUUUUGCUGAGUCAAACAUUGUAAAGUUUUUGAUAUUAUGAAGAAAUAUGCCCAGAUUAAAACAUUCGUCCAUGAAAAAAUGCUACACAAGUUCCCAGUCAGGUAAAUCUCAAUUUGGUCGAUUGCGAUAUCACCAGAAAAUGCUUCAGAAAUUAUACAAGAUUUGUUGUGAUUUCGCAACCGAUUGUAAGAACUAUUUUUAAAAAGCCGUAUUGAACAAUUAUUGAUUGUACGCCUACACUGUGUCAUUGUGUCCAGAUUAUUUGUCUCAUACAUGACAUACAUGACAUAACAAGGUACAAUAUAAUUAUUAUUAUUAAUAUAAGUGUUUGUAUUUAUUGUUCAAUACUAGUGUACACCAGGAACAUAUACAAAAUGUAUUUUAGAGGUAAAGUUACAUAUCUUAAAUAUCAGAGGCGGAUUUAGGGGGCCCCCCUUUUUGGGAAAUAAAUUGGUUGCUUAUAUAGGGAAGCAUGACUGGAGCGGGCCCCCACUUAUGAAAAUUCCUGGAUAUGCCACUGGAUAUUCAUUCAGAUCUUGCGCUGUAAAAUUAAAAUUUUGAAGAAGAUUAUAGGAUAAUAGGGAGUUUAUUCAUUUCUUGAGACUUAUUAUGACAAUUAAAAUCUUACAAUUGCAUGAAAUGUAAAUACAAAUGUACAUUUAUGUAACAUGUUAUUGUAUUAUAUACAUUUGUACAUUUGCAAAUAAAAAUGACUUGCAAUGCAUCAUUUGUAUAAGUAUAGCUUAUGAAUUUCAGUAAGCUACAUGUAUAUGUACAUUUUUGUAUGUAACAUGCAUAAUACAGUAUGAAAAAGCCCCAGCAUGACAAUAUACAAUGUAUGAAACAAUUCAUCAGUGAAAACUAAAAGCUACAUUUUUGAAAAUCAAGAAACAGUUACAUUUGUACAACAAUGAAUAACAUGUUCUUGACUAAGGGAAGAUUCAUAAAGAAUGGUGCAGGACUGGGUCAAACUGGUUUGGCUUUGCUAAAAUUUAAAUUCCCACAUAAGAACAAACUAUAAAAAUCAGUUAAAAAAGGGCUUUGUUGAAGCCCAUAAGCAUGAUAAGGUGAUCUAUAGUUGUUAAUUUCUGUUACAUUUUGUCUCUUGUGGAGAGUUGUCUCAUUGGCAAUCAUACCACAUCCUCUUUUUAUAUUAACUCAUCAGAUGAAUAGUAUCAUACAAAUAGAAAUAGAAAAACACAGAGUGGACAUUGAAGGGUACUUGUAUACUAAGUACUGAUUUGAGAGUAUUCACAGUUACUGACAGCUUGUUCAAAGCCUUUAAAACAACUAAUAAAAAACCACGCAUCUAUGAUUAAACAUGCCACAGUGGCAUGACAGUGCAACAUGAGAACAUACAGUAAAAGUACUAAAGUAGUCAUGGUAGUCUGCACUAUUACCAUUAUAGUUCUAUAUAUGCCCCAGAAAAGUAAAAUCUUAUUCUGUCUAGUUAGCUUUUGUAAAACUUUGUUUAAGACACUGUCAGAAAAGUAUUGGAAUAUUGGCAUGAUUGGUCUUUGGACUUGUAAGUGAUCAGAAAAAGAUUUUGGUGCAGACUGGUUCACUGGUUGAAAAGGGUUUAAUUUCUCAGAUUGUUUUUUUUUUUUUUUUAACUCUUCAAGAGUUACUGAAAGCUUGUUCUGAUUAUAAUCUACUAACUUGUAAACACUUGAAAUGACAUGAAUAAGAUAUUAUCUGCUCAUCAUGCUCAUAACCAAUACAAAAAGAUAUGAAUAAGAUAUCAUCUGCUCAACACAUGAAUAAGAUUUCAUCUGCUCAUCAUGCUCAUAACUAAUACAAAAAGACAUGGAUAAGAUAUCAUCUGCUCAAGACAUGAAUAAGAUUUCAUCUGCUCAACACAUGAAUAAGAUGUCAUCUGCUCAGCAUGCUCAUAACCAAAACAAAAAGACAUGAAUAAGAUAUCAUCUGCUCAAAAAAUGAAUAAGAUACAGUAUCAUCUGCUCAAGACAUGAAUAAGUUAUCAUCUGCUCAUCAUGCUCAUACCAACAUGACCAAUACAAAAAGACAUGAACAAGAUAUCAUCUGCUUAUCAAUGGCAUCAUGCUCAUACCAAAACUUCUUUUAAUUUGGUGAGUUAAUUUUUACACUUUUAUCACAGGUACCAUAUAGUUAAAGAAAAAAUGAUUUCUGUGGAUCUUUGCAAUUGUCAUGUGUUUAUGUCUUUUGAAUGCGAAUUCCAUUUGAAUGUAAGUCACAUUUGUUUUGUAUAUAUUAUACAUUAUUUGCAUAACAUGCAUAAUAUUAUUUAUAUAUUUCAGAUAUAACACUGAAACAUUAUGCAGAUGCAGAAUCUCAAAAGUUGAAAGUUUCAAAAGGUGCUGCAAAUGCCAUACAUAAUGAAGUAAG